ensembl:lincRNA
GGCGCAUGUACCACCAGCUUUGACAUUGAUUCCCAUGUGUGUGAGUUGCUCUCUGAUUUUAGAUCACAUUUGUCCUCAUCAUUCAGCAUAUCCACGUUGAUAUUGACAUGGUUUUAUUUUAGUUUUAGACAUACGACAAGUCAUAUCACGUUUGAAAUUGUCAGAGUAUAUUUCUUGAAGCCUGUAUUUGUAUUUUCUUCAGUGUAUUUCUUCACGUUUAGUCCCAAGAAACAAAGUAUAAAACAUCAAAGCCUACACUAUUACAGGCAGGAGGAUACAGCCUGAAGCUAACACAGGAUGAGUGUAUGGAUUAUAUUAUCGUAUUUACAUAUGAUUGACUGUGUAUCCCUUUUGCUUUUCAGUGUCUUCUGAGAAACAACCAGCCUGUAAGGUAACUAAACUCUCAUUUGUAUUUUGAACUAUAAUAUUUGUACAGUCUAUUAAACAUACUUUAUGUAUUGAUAAUUUUGUUUCAAAUACCAUUUAGGUUACAAGUGACCAGAAAGAUUCUAUUUUGAAUAUCGCCACAGAAAUAAAGGAUGGACAAAAAUCUGGGACAGUGUCUUCUGAGAAACAACCAGCCUUGAAGGCUACAAGUGAAAAGAACGAUUCUGUUUUGAAUAUAGCCACAGAAACAGAGGAGGGACCAACAUCUGGGACAGUGUCUUCUCAGAAACAACCAGCCUUGAAGGCUACAAGUGACAAGGAAGAUUCUGUUUCGAAUAUAGCCACAGAAAUAAAGGAUGCACAAAUAUCUGGGACAGUGUCUUCUAGGAAACAACCAGCCUUGAAGUGUCUUCUCAGAAACAACCAGCCUUGAAGGUAAU